AGGGAAGGUCUGAUAAGGUCUAUUUAUGCAACUCAAUCCCUUGGGAUGCCUUCGCUCUCCAGGAGGCUCCCUUGCAGGGGGUUGUGACAGCUGACUCCGCAGAAAGGUCUGCCCGACUCAUCAAAGGUCAGGGUAGAUGAGGCUUUUCCCUGCAGCUGCUAUUUAUUCAGAUGUUCCGACUCGGCAGUUUUUCAGUCAUUCUACUGGGCUGUCAGGCCCUGCCCGGGCCCACCGGCAAACUGACACGAGGUUUCCCUUGCAAACAGCCAGCUCGAUUGCCGCAGACAAGACUCAGGUGGGAACUCUGAGCGGCAUGAAAGUUUCUGUAGUAUGUCCUACCUCGCAUGAUUGGAAGUUGGCGGAGCCAAGAUUUGAACCCAAGCUAUACGCUCAACUUCUCAAUCAUCUCUGAAGUUGUUAGAGUUGAUGAAUUCACGUGGUGUUGGAGGGCGACUGGUCAGUGUAAGAGGAGUUUUGGAGAUGGAUCUGGAUUUUGUCGUAGUAACUAAACUGAUUACAAGACUUCAUGGUCUUCAGGUCCAAUGCUGUUCCCAUCUACUUAGUCUCUGGAAUACUGGGACUGACUCCGUGGACUACUUGGGCUGGGCUGGGUCUUUGGGAGAGCCCUCCAUUGGCUUCGCUGUCACGUGGUGCUCCGGCUGAGGACCUUCCCUCUGGAGCAGGAAGAAGCUUGGGACCGGAGUCAUGCAAUACCAGUUUACUUCGUUUCACCCUCGCUACGCACUGUGACGUCACUGAUCUUCCCAAGCCCCGAAUAGCGUCUCAGACCAUACAUUCGGAUUCCGCCCUGUCCUACAGUACUGUCCUUAGUUCUAUCCUUGUUGGGCUAACCGGAGCGCCCCACUCCUAUUUUUUUGAA